rnacentral:lncRNA from 1 species
UCCAAUGUUGGCCUCAUCAUUGCAAAAUCAAAGAGAAAGAGUUAGUACAAGGUGCUACACCUAAAAUGAUGAGAAUGACUUAGUUAAAGAAUCAAUCAUACCAUGAGGAAGCACCGAGCUAAUGCCGAUGUCAUAAAGUAUCUGCUUGGUUACCAGUUCCUUCAACUCUAGUACUUAGAUAUUAAGCAAUUUAUUAUAAUCUUCUUCAUCCUUGGGAAGGAUCAACUUCUUCUUAUUCAGAGAAUACCGAGGAUCACCCC